UUCCAUAAAGGACUCUCAGAGUUCAUCAUUCAUUCAUCAAAACAUAACUAGUUCUAAAUAAGAGGGGACUCAGUCCCUACAAUUCAUACAGAAAGGGGCAUUAUACCAUCG